AGAGUUUGAUUCUGGCUCAGAACGAACGUUGGCAGCGUGGUUUAGGCAUGCAAGUCGAACGGGAAGCCGGUGAUCAAUCCUUCGGGAGAGUGAAUCGGUGGAGAGUGGCGAAAGGGUGAGUAACGCGUGGGUAAUCUACCCACAAGUUGGGGAUAACGGCUGGAAACGGCCGCUAAUACCGAAUGUGGUCCCCUGGCGCAUGUCAGGGUGAUCAAAGAUGGGGAUCCUUCGGGACCUGUCGCUUGUGGAGGAGCCCGCUCCGAUUAGCUUGUUGGUAGGGUAAAAGCCUACCAAGGCGACGAUCGGUAGCUGGUCUGAGAGGAUGGUCAGCCACACUGGGACUGAGACACUGCCCAGACUCCUACGGGAGGCUGCAGUCGAGAAUCAUUCGCAAUGCGCGAAAGCGUGACGAUGCGACGCUGCGUGGAGGAUGAAGGCCUUCGGGUUGUAAACUCCUGUCAUGAGGGAGCAGUACUUGCCCGCCGAAUAAGCGGGUGGGGGCGAUAGUACCUCAAGAGGAAGUCACGGCUAACUCUGUGCCAGCAGCCGCGGUAAUACAGAGGUGGCGAACGUUGUUCGGAUUUACUGGGCGUAAAGGGUGCGUAGGUGGGGUCGUAUGUCGGGUGUGAAAUCCCGCGGCUUAACCGCGGAACUGCAUUCGAAACUGCGACUCUUGGGUCCACCAGGGGAGAGCGGAAUUCUUGGUGUAGCGGUGAAAUGCGUUGAUAUCAAGAAGAACACCGGUGGCGAAGGCGGCUCUCUGGGAUGCGACUGACACUGAGGCACGAAAGCUAGGGGAGCGAACAGGAUUAGAUACCCUGGUAGUCCUAGCCGUAAACGGUGUGCACUUGGUGUGGGAGGAUUUGACCCCUUCCGUGCCGGAGCUAACGCGUUAAGUGCACCGCCUGGGGAGUACGGCCGCAAGGUUAAAACUCAAAGAAAUUGACGGGGGCCCGCACAAGCGGAGGAGCAUGUGGCUUAAUUCGAUGCAACGCGAAGAACCUUACCAGGGCUUGACAUGCAGCUGCACGUCCGCUGAAAGGCGGAAAGCUUUCGAAGGUGCUGCACAGGUGCUGCAUGGCUGUCGUCAGUUCGUGCCGUGAGGUGUUGGGUUAAGUCCCGCAACGAACGCAACCCUUGUGUCCAGUUGCCAGCGGAUAACGCCGGGGACUCUGGACAGACUGCCUGUACAAGCAGGAGGAAGGUGGGGAUGACGUCAAGUCAGUAUGGCCCUUACGCCCUGGGCUGCACACGUGCUACAAUGGUCGGUACAGAGGGACGCAAUGCCGCGAGGUGGAGCAAAUCCCCAAAACCGGCCCCAGUUCGGAUUGGAGUCUGCAACUCGACUCCAUGAAGUCGGAUUCGCUAGUAAAGGCGUAUCAGCUACGACGCCUUGAAUACGUUCCCGGGCCUUGUACACACCGCCCGUCACAUCAUGAAAGCCGUCUGCACCCAAAGUCGCUGAUCCAACCCGCAAGGGAGGUAGGUGCCGAAGGUGUGGGUGGUGAUUGGGAUGAAGUC
rnacentral:rRNA from 1 species